GAUGAACGCUGGCGGCGUGCCUAAUACAUGCAAGUCGAGCGAACGGACGAGAAGCUUGCUUUUCUGAUGUUAGCGGCGGACGGGUGGGUAACACGUGGAUAACCUACCUAUAAGACUGGGAUAACUUCGGGAAACCGGAGCUAAUACCGGAUAAUAUUUUGAACCGCAUGGUUCAUAAGUGAAAGACGGUCUUGCUGUCACUUAUAGAUGGAUCCGCGCUGCAUUAGUUAGUUGGUAAGGUAACGGCUUACCAAGGCAACGAUGCAUAGCCGACCUGAGAGGGUGAUCGGCCACACUGGAACUGAGACACGGUCCAGACUCCUACGGGAGGCAGCAGUAGGGAAUCUUCCGCAAUGGGCGAAAGCCUGACGGAGCAACGCCGCGUGAGUGAUGAAGGUCUUCGGAUCGUAAAACUCUGUUAUUAGGGAAGAACAUAUGUGUAAGUAACUGUGCACAUCUUGACGGUACCUAAUCAGAAAGCCACGGCUAACUACGUG
rnacentral:rRNA from 1 species